rnacentral:rRNA from 1 species
AGCAGCCGCGGUAAUUCCAGCUCCAAUAGCGUAUAUUAAAGUUGCUGCAGUUAAAAAGCUCGUAGUUGAAUUUCGGGACCAUCAUGUCGGUCGUGCCUCGGUACGUACUGGUAUUGUUGGUUUCUCCCUUCUGACGAACCAUGAUGUCAUUUAUUUGGUGUUGUGGGAAAUCAGGACUGUUACUUUGAAAAAAUUAGAGUGUUUAAAGCAGGCUCACGCUUGAAUACAUUAGCAUGGAAUAAUGAAAUAGGACGUUUGAUUCUAUUUUGUUGGUUUCUAGGAUCGACGUAAUGAUUAAUAGGGAUAGUUGGGGGCAUUAGUAUUCAAUUGUCAGAGGUGAAAUUCUUGGAUUUAUUGAAGACUAACUACUGCGAAAGCAUUUGCCAAGGAUGUUUUCAUUAAUCAAGAACGAAAGUUAGGGGAUCGAAGACGAUCAGAUACCGUCGUAGUCUUAACCAUAAACUAUGCCGACUAGGGAUCGGAGUGAUUAGUUUAAUUUUUUUAAUUGUACUCAUUCGGU